UGAAUGCAACAAUACAAUCCAUCACACAUUCAUUUAUAACUUAGGCUAAGCAUUACUAUCAUCACUUAUCAUCAGACAAUGCAUUACUUUCAAUCUGUUUUCAGUUCAUGAGCUUCAAACAAUAUCUUUUCACAUUUAGCAAACUCAUUACUUAACAGGAGCAAGCAUUUUACUCUUUAAACACUAAACAAGCCUUUAAAGCAUCCUGGGACAGAUUCAACUAAUUAUAUUUAGCAAUCACACAUUAUCCUCAGGUUUUUCAAUCAAUACACAUCACAAUAACCAGUCAACA
rnacentral:lncRNA from 1 species